UCCCAGCUAUUAACUGCUGGCUGAUUGCUUUGUGCAAAAGGUGCCCGAAGAGCGAGGGGAAGGAAAUUAGGGAAUAAUGGGAGGGAGUAAUGAAAGAGGAUGAAAACUGGCAGCCUGGCUCAACAGGCACAGCUGAAAGAAAAAGAAAAGAAGAAGAGACAGAAAAAGACAAAAAAAACCGUGAAUUAGAAUAGUUAUUCUAAUUCUCAGACUGUAACCCACAGCAGCACGACCAGAUGUACGGCAGAUUUUCAGACGUUUAUCCCAGUGUCUCCACACUUUGUUCCCAAAUUGGAUCGAAUGGAAGGUGAUUUAAGUCUGAAACAUUUGCUCAUCCGUGCAAAACGAAGCUCGGUGAGCGAGCGACUGCUCGCAGGGCCCGUUGGUGAAGUAUGAGUUAAGGUUUAAAUUAGCAUCCCAUCUCCUGCACUCCUGCGUGUGAUAACACAUCUGAUCUGAGCCGGUGUGGAGUCAGAAUACUAAAUGUGUGAGUCUGUGUGUCGCUCUGAGGAACAGCAGAGCGCUGCCAACCCAUGCUAGAUCCUGCCAUCUGCCCUGCAAUCACCUCGUUCCCCUCACCUGAGUUUCCCCACCCGUCUCCUCACCUGGAUCCCAUUAGGCUCAUCAGUCACUCCUUAUAUAUACCGGUCCACAUUCUCAUGCUCCUUGCCGGACUGUCUAAUGUGUUUGCAUAGCUUUCCAGCAUUUCUAUAUCUACCUGUUCACUCGCCUGUUACCUGAGAUCCUGCCUGUUUCCCGGUCUUGAGAUUUGUCUAGUCCCUCGGAGUUGUCUGCCUGGUUUGUGACCCCUGCUUGGUUUUUUUUGACUAAUUAAAGAAUAUCAGACUCUGCUCCCGUCUCUGAGGUCGUUACAACUGUCACCUUCUUGUACUGUAUUCAUCUCUGUAUGCACCUCUGACCAAAUGAAUUUCCAUUUUUGGCUGAUAAAGUUAAUUUGAUUUGA